rnacentral:rRNA from 1 species
UACGUAGGGGGCGAGCGUUGUCCGGAUUCAUUGGGCGUAAAGAGCUCGUAGGCGGCUUGGUAAGUCGGGUGUGAAACCUCCAGGCUCAACCUGGAGACGCCACUCGAUACUGCCAUGGCUAGAGUCCGGUAGGGGCCCACGGAAUUCCUGGUGUAGCGGUGAAAUGCGCAGAUAUCAGGAGGAACACCGGUGGCGAAGGCGGGUCUCUGGGCCGAUACUGACGCUGAGGAGCGAAAGCGUGGGGAGCGAACAGG